rnacentral:rRNA from 1 species
UACGGAGGGGGCUAGCGUUGUUCGGAAUGACUGGGCGUAAAGCGCGUGUAGGCGGACCUCAAAGUUGGGGGUGAAAGCCCAGGGCUCAACCCUGGAAUGGCCUUCAAGACUCGCGGGCUGGAGUUCGGGAGGGGUGGGUGGAAUUCCGGGUGUAGAGGUGAAAUGCGUAGAUAUUCGGAGGAACACCAGUGGCGAAGGCGGUCCACUGGCUCGACACUGACGCUGAGGCGCGAAAGCGCGGGGAGCAAACAGG